rnacentral:rRNA from 1 species
UACGGAGGAUGCGAGCGUUAUCCGGAUUUAUUGGGUUUAAAGGGUGCGCAGGCGGAUUUUUAAGUCAGCGGUCAAAUCGUGGGGCUCAACCCCAUCCAGCCGUUGAAACUGGGGAUCUUGAGUGCGGCGGAGGCAUGCGGAAUGCGCGGUGUAGCGGUGAAAUGCAUAGAUAUUGCGCAGAACUCCGAUUGCGAAGGCAGCGUACCGGCUCCACACUGACGCUGAGGCACGAAAGCGUGGGUAUCGAACAGG